CAGCAGAGUCCACGGAGCACAGCUUCCGGGUCCUGACCAGCAGCCUGGGGUGUUUGGGGCCAACCUUUGCCAUUAACAGGAAUGGUACCCAGGGCCUGGUUAUUGUGGCCCAUGCUGGACGUGGGGACCCUCCCCACUUUUCUCUCCCAAGCUUUCUGUGCCUGGAGCGCCUAGAACACUCAAGACUCAACUCCAGCAUCUUCCUUCCAACAGCACUCCUUCCAGGCACCCCCCGCCCUUUUCCUAAUAGACACAAAUCUUUAUGCCCAGUCCUGUUUCCUCCAACCAUGUGUCCCUGCGUACUGGCUUCUGGUGGUGCUCCUGUGUCUGUGGAUAGCUCCCUGUUACGGUCUAUCUCAGGGUUUCUCACCCUCUGCAUCAUGGACAUUUUGGUCCGAAUCAUUCUUUAUUGCAGGGGGGCCAUCCUGUGUAUUGUGUGAUGUUUAGCUGCAUCCCUGGCCUCUACUCACUAGAUGCAAGUAGCACUCCUCCAUUUGUGACAACCAAAAAUAUUUCCAAAUGUCUCCAGGUGGGUGGGAGGGAGCAAAAUCCUCCCACAGUUGACAUAUACCGGCCUAUCUGUGGAAGUCAUUGUGAACCAGAGGUAGGAUCUGAGGGUGCAGGAAGCCCUCCUCCUCAUCUAUGUGAUUAGUGUCUUUAGGGCUGAGAAGGCCUCUUAGGCUUCAGAGGGUCCUAUUGAAGGGCAUUUCCCCAGGCAGGGUCAAUCGCAGGGGCUGCUGCAUUCCACCUGUCUGGCAGGAUAAGGCAUGGCAUGUGGGGUGUGUGAAGCUGAGGAUACGGAAGAGGCAGGGGCAGAGAGGGAUGUUGGAAACAGGGAGAUGCUGAGGUUGGUGGUUACUGAGUUCCACACACUACAACAUGACUUAGCUUAUCCCCUAUUUCAUUUCAUCCUUAGAGGGUCCCAAUAAUCAACAACAACAACCUGGAGGCCUCACCAUGUGCCAGACAUGAUGUUAACGCUACUUUCCCUGAGGAAGAAAUGUAUGUGAACCUCAUUUUACAGAUGAGGAAAGUAAGACUUGGGGAAGGUGGGUCACUUGCCCAAAGAGCCAACGCUGAGGCCCCCACCUGUCCUACGACUCUCCAAAAUGUGUCACCAGAAUGCUAAAUGCACUGAGGGUAGGUGUCUCCCCAGGUGUGAAAUCAGGUAAGUCCUUGACCUAAUUUCAGAUUCUGCUUCAGUGCUGACCCAGCUGGGGCACUAAACUCAGGGUAACCUAGAUUAAUUAUGUGUCUGUUAUCCAGUUACUUAGUAAAUGCUUUUUGGCUGUUUCUUUCACACAGACUCCAUGAGCCCAGGACACUGCCCCCCACCCACUACCCCAGCAAGGACUCUCUCAUUUCUCUGGCUUGUCCCCAGGGUGUCCAGCUCCCCGCUGCUCCAUGGACCUGAUGGACCAGACUGGAUGCCCAGGAGAAUGACGGGGGGGCCAAAUCCUGUCCUCCGCACAGCCUGCUGCCUCCUCAGGGCUGCUUCUUUCUUUGUGUACAUCCUGGCAAGACACCGCUUAGUUUGAAUAAACUCUGAGCUCUGAGAAAUGUGGAGGUGAUUCCCGAACCCAAUGUCCUAAGCCUGCCAAGGAUGCGAACACGGAGCCUACUUCCUCCCCUCAGCUCCCAUCUCCAACACACAGAGAUCCAGCCUGGGCUGGGGGCACAGAGAGACAUGCCAAUAAAGGAAUCAGGCUGUGGCAAAGAAAGAAUUAAGCCAACACUGAAAUACACACACACACACGUGCACACGCACAUACACACACACACACACACACAUGUGUUUGGGCCACCUGGCUUCCUGCUCCCAGUGCUGCAGCCAUCUGGACAGUGGAGAGAGAGAAAUCCAGGAAAGGCUAUUCCUGGCUGGGAGAUUCUGAGAAUCACACUGUAAGGCGAUCCCGGGGCUCAAGCUUCGGUGGCAGGAGGGGAGCCACUUCAAGAUAAGGCAACACGGGGAGUGGGGAGAAUGAUCUGUUCCAUGCAGACAGCACAGUCCCAUCCCUAUGAGGCACGCGGGCUGUGGGGGCUGCCCAUGGGAGCCAGAUUUCACUCUGCCCUCCAUGAAUUCCCACCCCAAUGAGAAACACAUGGAGUUAAACUUUAGUGUCCUCUGCUGCAAAGUGGGGAGGGUCAAUAAUUUUCAAGGGACAAGAGACUCAGUAGUUUCUCCCAGCUUUAUGUCUUGCUCCACAUAAUCAAGGUGUACACAACGAUAGAUCUUGUCUUAAUUUCAAUUUAUUUUACUUUAUUUAGUUUUUUUUCCAAUUAAGAGCUCAAGUACCCAAUGCCUCAACAACAGAGGUUCAGUAUCUCAUUCUUGAGAACCACCCCCAACUCCAAUUUGCUCUAAAAUACUGAGAACUUACUCAAACCAGAGUGCCUAGUCUCCAUCUAAACUUGCAAGCCAAAGACUCCUAGGAUUUGGUCAGUUCAUCAUUACUUUUAGUUCCCACAGCCCAGUGGUGUGGUUACUGGGGAUGGAUCCACAGUUAGCAAAUGUCCUUGUUGGUUCAGACCCCUGCUCACAUUACUAUGAUGCACCAAGAUAAUUCUUUGUAGUUCACAUUCCCUCCCCAGUAUUGUCUAGAGCCAACCACUGAGUUGGGAAACUUGGAACACACAUGUUUCUAGCAGUGCCAGCAACAAGCCUUGCUAGACCAGCCCUCCCUGGGAAACUUGAAGCCAUGUGGUGACCCCAGGCCCCAGGAAAAACGCUCUGCUUUCUUAAAAUAAUUUUAUUUUAAGGAGUUUGCCCCCUAUCUAUCUGGCCACUGGAACUUGGUUGGAACAACUUCACUUUGAACUAAGGGGAACAGAGGAUGGCAUGUCUGUUCUUUUCCUUCUCUGAAGGCCAUGGACCCUUAGGAAAUUGAUGCCUUUCCUCCCAGCAAUCAGAUCUGCAUACAGAGGAACCCCAGGUCUUAUUAUCGCCUUGUCCAGAAUAAUGAGUGCCUACUUGCUUAUAUUUGUAUAGAUAGAAGGAGGAAAUUUUCAAGUGCCUGUCCCCUAAAUAGUGAUGGGCUGAGCCAAG
rnacentral:lncRNA from 10 species